AUUGAACGCUGGCGGCAUGCCUUACACAUGCAAGUCGAACGGUAACAGGCCUUCGGAUGCUGACGAGUGGCGAACGGGUGAGUAAUACAUCGGAACGUGCCUAGUAGUGGGGGAUAACUACUCGAAAGAGUGGCUAAUACCGCAUGAGAUCUACGGAUGAAAGCAGGGGAUCGCAAGACCUUGUGCUACUAGAGCGGCCGAUGGCAGAUUAGGUAGUUGGUGGGAUAAAAGCUUACCAAGCCGACGAUCUGUAGCUGGUCUGAGAGGACGAUCAGCCACACUGGGACUGAGACACGGCCCAGACUCCUACGAGAGGCAGCAGUGGGGAAUUUUGGACAAUGGGCGAAAGCCUGAUCCAGCAAUGCCGCGUGCAGGAUGAAGGCCUUCGGGUUGUAAACUGCUUUUGUACGGAACGAGAAGCCCCGGGUUAAUACCCUGGGGUCAUGACGGUACCGUAAGAAUAAGCACCGGCUAACUACGUGCCAGCCGCCGCAGUAA
rnacentral:rRNA from 1 species